rnacentral:lncRNA from 1 species
AAAAACUAAGCUAGGCCCUUAGACCUAGACUAUACAAAAGAGGCAGUCGUUUAUCAUCUGAACCCGCACCCAAAGGGACCCCUCAUCUCAACAUCAUCUUCUUCAAAACUAACGCACAAAAUCAGCAGCCAUCUUCAACACUAACAGAGGAAACAAUCUAAAAACCUUGUAUUGAAGCUCCCAACUAUGACCCUUCUAGCCAAAACGACCCUUCAGCAUAUUCAACCUUACACCACAUCCACUUUUCUCGAUCUCCCUUCACCCUUGCACCCCACCUCCUUAAGCUAUGAGAAAAUGGCCUCACCAACACAUCCAUUAAUUGACUAAUAGGUGCUGGAAUUGGAUUCGAGUUCGACUAAGGUGAGGUUGAUUGAGGCGUUCAAGUUUGAUUUUUCGUUCGAGUUCUCGUCGCGCUGUAAUUUUCGAAGAUUUGAAUAUACCGGAAAGCGAUUCCAGGUCCAUGUCCUUUCUCCUUAUCUUACUGUUUGGUCUGAUUAUAAGUAUGAUAAGAGUUUUGGUUUGAAAUAGGUUUAGGCUUGGUAAUUUCCUCAUUAUCUAUUUCUUUAGAGUAGUUCAACACUAAUUCAGUUUUAAUCCAGAUCUGACUUUGGAUCCAAAUGCUUGAAUCCGUGUUCAAUAUAUUUAAAUAUGUCUUGUCUGAAAAAUGUUGUUUCUGGUAGUAGCGUGAUUUUCAUGGUUCCGUAUUUGAUUAAUCUAAACUCAAUGUUUGAGAUAAUAUCUUGUCAUGUGUUUGGACUUAACUGUUUAAUUUUAGAAUAAUAUUCCAAUACAUGUUCCUUUCAUUACUUUGCUAGUCUUUCUUGUAAAAUUGUUGAAAAUAUCAAUAGUAGUAUAACUUUGUGGAAUGAUUUAACCUUGUCUUCAUGUAUUUGGAUUUAAGUUAAGAUUGGCAUGGUAUUAUGAUACAUCUACUGUAAAUAUACUUUAGCAUGUUAACAUAUGUUACUGAAAAUUUCUUUCGACACUUUGGGAAUCCAGUUUAACUAGGAGUAAUUAAUUAUUUGUGUAAUCCGUUAUGCAAGAAAGUUCUCCAAUCUUCUUUGCUGCCUGUCAUGAGUUUUCGUUGAUCUAUCAGAGUGUAAAGGAAAUUUUACCUAUUUGACAUUAUAGUUUUAGUGGGGUCAUUUAGACUUAUUUAGGUGAAUUAUGAGUGUCACUUAGGAGUAAUACAUUGAUAAAGGAUCUCACAAUGACCCCCAUAGAGUUGGUUAGACUAAUCUUGAAGCAGCAAUCAUCUCCUGCAUCGCUUCUGCCAUAGAAUCAAUUAUCUCUUUAUCCCCACAACUCUGGUCAAAAGCAGGAGCUAUAUCUGAUGAACACUUCCUCUAUUUACAAGAUAUAUUCCUUGUUGUAGUUUGUUGUGAGGUAGCAGCGCUAUGUAAAGGUGUUGGCGAUGAAGGAUUUACAGGAGCCAAGUUGCUAGUUUCUUUACUGUUCCAACGUGUUUUGGAUAUCAUGUCUAUUUUGGAUGAUUAUUGAAUUUAAUUUAAAUUUGUUAUGAUGAAUAUAAGGUCAUGGGUUGGUUAUUAGAAGUUUAAAGAAAUUUUAGUUGAACAUGCUCUUUGUUUUACUUUAUUUAUUUAAUUCUAUAACUGUUAGGAGCAUGUUAGGCCGACAAUACUCGGGUAGGCGAACUUUUAGGC